GAUGAACGCUAGCGAUAGGCUUAACACAUGCAAGUCGAGGGGCAGCAUGGUCUUAGCUUGCUAAGGCUGAUGGCGACCGGCGCACGGGUGCGUAACGCGUAUGCAACUUGCCUCACAGAGGGGGAUAACCCGUCGAAAGACGGACUAAUACCGCGUACACUCUAUGUUGGGCAUCCAAUGUAGAGGAAAUUGAAAUUCGCUGUGAGAUAGGCAUGCGUCCCAUUAGCUAGUUGGUGAGGUAACGGCUCACCAAGGCGACGAUGGGUAGGGGAACUGAGAGGUUGAACCCCCACACUGGUACUGAGACACGGACCAGACUCCUACGGGAGGCAGCAGUGAGGAAUAUUGGUCAAUGGGCGAGAGCCUGAACCAGCCAAGUCGCGUGAAGGAUGACUGUCUUAUGGAUUGUAAACUUCUUUUAUACGGGAAUAACAAGAGUCACGUGUGGCUCCCUGCAUGUACCGUAUGAAUAAGCAUCGGCUAACUCCGUG
rnacentral:rRNA from 1 species